CGGGUGGCAGCAGUGGGGAAUUUUGGACAAUGGGGGCAACCCUGAUCCAGCAAUGCCGCGUGAGUGAAGAAGGCCUUCGGGUUGUAAAGCUCUUUUGUUAGGGAAGAAAAGGCAGCUAAUAAUACUAGCUGCUGAUGACGGUACCUAAAGAAUAAGCACCGGCUAACUACGUGCCAGCAGCCGCGGUAAUACGUAGGGUGCAAGCGUUAAUCGGAAUUACUGGGCGUAAAGCGUGCGCAGGCGGUCUCGUAAGUCAGAUGUGAAAUCCCCGAGCUCAACUUGGGAACUGCAUCCGAAACUGCGAGACUAGAGUGUGUCAGAGGGAGGUAGAAUUCCACGUGUAGCAGUGAAAUGCGUAGAUAUGUGGAGGAAUACCAGUGGCGAAGGCGGCCUCCUGGGAUAACACUGACGCUCAUGUACGAAAGCGUGGGGAGCAAACAGGAUUAGAUACCCGAGU
rnacentral:rRNA from 1 species